AACGUAGGAGGCGAGCGUUAUCCGGAUUUACUGGGCGUAAAGGGUGUGCAGGCGGGCCGUUAAGUGGUGCAUGAAAGCGAAGGGCUCAACCCUUCGAGGCUGUGCCAGACUGGCGGUCUGGAGUGCGGGAGAGGGCUGUGGAAUUCCGGGUGUAGUGGUGAAAUGCGUAGAGAUCCGGAGGAACACCAGAGGCGAAGGCGGCAGCCUGGCCCGCAACUGACGCUGAGACACGACAGCAUGGGGAGCGAACGGG
rnacentral:rRNA from 1 species